rnacentral:misc_RNA from 1 species
CUCUGCCCAUCCAUUAAGGAGCUCCCUACCGUAUCCAUCACUAAAUGGUUCUGGUGCACACACGCUCACGCUUCCUUUCCCACCCAACAUCGACUAAUCCCUUUUCCUCCUCCAUCCCUUCCCCUGCACCUGCAAAGCCUUCCCUCGCAUCCACUCCUCCAGCACACGCACGCACACACUUCGCUACGCGCCUUUCAUCGAUCCGCGGCCGACGCACGUGCACACCCACCACCUGGCGGAAAUCUGUGUGUGAGCUGUCGAGUGCGCCUCUGGGGCUGUGGGCUCAUCCACGUAGACACAGCACCGGCGAGGACCUUUACUCUUGCACUUCCUUCUCACCCACCCCCCACGCCGCCGUUGCCCCCGUUUACUGUAUUCUUCUUGUUGUGCCUGCCUGUCUCUGUACAGAGACACCGCACUCAAACGACGGACGCACACGCGCCGUCGCGCGCGCGCGAGCAUCGGUGCAUGUAUUAAACCGUAUGGCAGUCACCAACACCAUCAGCGCGACUGCCAUACCGAUCUCCCCACCCUCCUCGACCUCUCCCUUCCCCUGACCAUCCGGCGUUGGGCACGCGCGCUUGUGUACAAGCGAGGCGACUUCCUUGGCGUUUGCCUUUGUUGUUGUUGGCGUCGUCGUCGUCGUUCUGUCCGCUGGGCGCCCUCCGGCCCUCUCGCCCGUGUGAUGCGAGAACUCCCCACGUAGUGGGCGUGCGCAAGAGAAAGUGAAACACGACGAAGGCGGAGCUGCGGCGCACGGCAAUCGCGGAUUUGGCUGACGUCGCGAUCCUCCUCCCUCCCUCCCUACGUAUCUCCUCAGGAGAGAGAAGCCAGGCGCAACGCGUAUCCACGCAUCACCACGUAGAAGGGCGCAGCUUGCACAGACAGACAGACACACAUACUUGUGUGUGUGUGUGUGUGUGUGUGUGUAGAUACUCUCGCGAUAGAGCAGCUGUGACAGUUAAACUCACGCCACAACGUAACAGGGUGAGCGUGAGAAAGAGAGAUAGACGCGCCCGUGCCAGCUAGAGGGGGAGCGGCAGACGCCUUCACCGACUCGUGAACGCAUCCUAAGGCGCGGUGGCGCCAACGCCCGCCCUCUGCAAACGUCAAUAGUGCGCUAUGAGCCAUGAGGACCCCAACCGGGCCGCCUGGGGUACGGGCGCCACCGGCACGACCGUGGCGUCGCCACCGCUGCUAAGUUCGCUCUCCGCCUCCCCGUCGACAGCGUGUAGCAGCCACGAGUUCCGCACGCCGUUUAGCAUAUCGGCCUCCAGCAUCGCAGCACGCGUCGCAUCGCCAACGCCGCUGCCAGCGAACUGCGGCGACAGCGAGGCGGCGAACUACCGCACCACCUCACCACCGCUGCGAGAGGGGGAGGCGCGGCGAACUUCCCCGUGCACCUCCCCGUCCCCGCUGCCGGCCUCCCCGGCAGACAUGAACAGCGGCAGCAGCACACCGCAUGAGGACGCACUCGCCACCUCGGAAUCUUCUUUGUCUUCCUCUCCGACGGAGCCGCCAAGGUUUCAGACACUGCUGGUGUCACCUCCAUCAACGCCGUCGACGCCCGCAUCGCCGUACCCAGAUCCAGAGCCGUCCGCGCAGCCGUUAGGCGCGACCAGCCUCGGUGGUGCGAGUGCCGUCGCCGUCAACGCGAGUCUGAACGGCGUAUCUGGGGGUGGUAGCGGGGGCUCCUCCUCUCCUAAUACGUCACCGAAUAGUGCAGCCGCCAGCGGCAACCCGCGACGCUCGCUGAACGCCGCCUUCACGCUCAGCCCGCGCACCGAGAGCGACGUGGAGGUGUCCGUAGAGUGCAACAACGACGCGUCAAGCGUGUGCUUCGACCUGGACCGGCAUGACCCGCCCAUCAAGCAGUACUACAACCUCGGCAGCUUGGAGGAGCGUCGCACCUUUGUCACGGAGGGCUGUGUCGCGGCGGCGCGGAAAAUGUCCACACAGCGCAUCCUCGAUCACCUGUUGCCGGCGCUGCUCACGGCAUUCGAGGCGGACGACUACGGUGAGUCCUUCGACGACUGCGCCCCGUGCAUCGCGCGUGCACUGCCGCACAUUGUGGCAUGCAUGGAGACGCGCACCACGGCCAACCUCACCUAUUUCAUGGGCCUCAUCAUGGAGCUGUGCUGCUCCGCGGAGGGGCUCGUCGCCAAGGUGAUUACGACAUCCCUGCAGGCCAUCUUCGAGAUGGUGGAGGACGCUGUGCUACUCGAGCUGUUCCUGCCCUUUGUACUGACGAUGCGCGUAUCCUUCUGGAGUACACCGCGCGUCGUGGCAGCCGGGCUGCUCGGCUACCUCGCUAUGCGGCCGGCCGUGCUGCAGGCAAGCGGGCUGAGCGUUACGGACAUGUUCAACUACUACGCGGAGUGCAGCAGCGACGCCUCGGCGAUGGUCCGCGCGGCCGUCGUCAUGUCUCUGCACGACUGGGUGCGUGUCGCGGCCGUGCAUCGGCUCACGCUGGCCGAGAUGCCGCUGCCGCUGCUGAAGAGCCUGGCCACGGACGACCUCAGCGAUACUGUUCGCUACCUUUUGAUCGAAGAGGUGGUGAAGCUGGCGCAGAUGAUCGGGCCCAAGUCGACGUCCAAGUACCUGCUCAGCACCUUCGUCGGCGCGUACAUGGACCCGAGCUGGCGUGUGCGCUACACGGCGGCGAAUCGGCUUGGCGCGAUGGCAGCGUUGGUGCUGAACGCCGACGACUUGGAGGUGGUUCUAGAGACGCUCGCGCGUGACGAGGAGCCGGAGACGCGCGCGGCUGUGGCACGGCAGCUGGAGUUGAUGGUGCAGCACUGCAGCAGCGAGGUUGUCCAGCACUCCUGUGUCCCUGUUGCCGUGGCCCUGUCCCAGGAUGCCGAUCCAGUCGUGCGUCGCAGCGCGGCUCGCCAUUAUCACUGCUUUAUAUUUGGCAGUGAAGAAGUGGUUCGCACCAUGUGCAAGGCGCUUCGGGCACUGAUGCAAGACGCGGUCUUCUCUGUGCAAGAGAACGCUAUAGAGAGUCUGGGCGAUCUGGUGCCGGCGCUUGAGGGGAGUGUGCAGGCAGCUGUGCAGCAUGUGGCGCUAGGUAGUGCCGGAGGCGGCAGCGGAGUGGCGCACUGGCCGUCUAACUCAUCUCGCGGCUCUGCCUCGCGGCGGCAGCAGGCUUCAACGUCGGCCUCGGCGCACAACCGCGGUAGCCGUCACAAAUCGCCACACCUCUCCUCGCGACUCGCCAGUGGUGCGGCGGCCGUUAGUGGGCCAGCCGGUGCGGGGGAGGCGAACGUCGCCCUCACACGGAAGCGUGCCGACGCGAUUGUGCGCUCCUUCAUGACGGAGGUGCUGAACCUCGGCGAGUCGCGCAACUGGCGCAUCCGCAACGCGGUGGUGCGUAUCGUGCACCACUUCUGCAAGGUCCUCAGCCCUGACCAGUUCCGGCCCCUCACCAAGAUGCUCUUCAUCGCCCUGCACGACCCCGUCAGCACCGUCCGCUCGCAGGCGGUUCGCACGCUGAAGGAAGUGGCGGCAGCCUACGGCGGCGAGUGGGCUGCUCAGACGGCAACGGAGCUGCUACAGUCUGACACGCUUGCCCCGACGCGCGCUGUGAGCUAUAUGUGGCGGGUUGUGAUGAUCCAGUGCCUGGAGGUGCUGCUGCCGGCAGUGAGCGAGCUCAGCCCGCGCGAGGUGCGGCGGCAGCAGCUACUCGCGACGACGCUGCCGCUGCUGCGCGACUAUGUCACCGACCGCGUGCCGAAUGUGCGCCUCGCGGUGGCGCACGCGCUGCCCUGCUGGUACUCCUGGUUCGACGUAACAGAGACGGAGCGGGCGGCGUACAAUGCGGCACUCAAACAGCUGCAGCAGGACGCGGACAUCGACGUCCUCAACGCCUCGCACAAAAUAUCGUACAACAGCGGCAGCAGCAACAACGUCGCGGGCGGUGAGGCGCGCUGAUGGACAACGGUGGCGGAAGCAUCGCGAGCUCACAGAAGACGGUAUAGGGGAGGGACAAGACAGAGACAGAGACAGAGAGGGAUGAGGCGGGUGGCGAAAAGGGCGGCGGCGGCUGACAUGGGCCCCUCCCUUUGUUAUACUCCUCCGCCCUCCCCCUUUCCCCUGCAUGUUGCCGUAGCGCACCACCUCGCCGCCUCCCUCAUGCGCUCCUUCUCCGCUCUCGUGCGGUCCAUCUCUCUGCCCUCUUCCUCCCCCUCUAGCUCGGCCCUUUGUUGUCGUUCUUUCCCGUUUUUCGGUUCGAGACUUUACUGGCGUGUUGUCACGCGCGCAUCACCGAUGAUCAUGUUCAUUGUUCUCUCUUCUCUUAUUGCUGGCGGUUGCGCCCUGUGAUGGGUGCCGGCGAGUGCUGUGACACUUUACUGCUCGUGCAGUUGUCCCACCCCACCUUCUCAGCUUUCCCGAGCUUGCGUGCGUAUACGGGUGUGUGUUCGCCAAGGCCGCUUCCUUCUCUCUAUGUGUCGGUCUUAUCGCGCAUACGGGCCGUAAAGCACACGUGCGAUGUGCGUACACACACAAACACGCGUCGACACGCUCACACGCCCACCUCUUGCCGCUGCAGGUGUAGCACGUGGUUUCACCACCGAUUUAUGAUUGCGUUCAUGGGCCUCUCUCUCUCUCGUUGU